rnacentral:rRNA from 1 species
UACGGAGGGGGCUAGCGUUGUUCGGAAUUACUGGGCGUAAAGCGCGCGUAGGCGGACCUGCAAGUCGGGGGUGAAAGCCCGAGGCUCAACCUCGGAACUGCCUUCGAUACUGCGGGUCUCGAGUCCGGGAGAGGUGAGUGGAAUUCCUAGUGUAGAGGUGAAAUUCGUAGAUAUUCGCAAGAACACCAGUGGCGAAGGCGGCUCAGCUGGUCCGGUACUGACGCGUGAGGUGCGAAAGCGUGGGGAGCAAACAGG